rnacentral:rRNA from 1 species
AUUGAACGCUGGCGGCAGGCUUAACACAUGCAAGUCGAGCGGAGAUGAGGUGCUUGCACCUUAUCUUAGCGGCGGACGGGUGAGUAAUGCUUAGGAAUCUGCCUAUUAGUGGGGGACAACAUUCCGAAAGGAAUGCUAAUACCGCAUACGUCCUACGGGAGAAAGCAGGGGAUCUUCGGACCUUGCGCUAAUAGAUGAGCCUAAGUCGGAUUAGCUAGUUGCUGGGGUAAAGGCCUACCAAGGCGACGAACUGUAGCGGGUCGGUGAGGAUGAUCCGCCACACUGGACUGAGACACGGCCCAGACUCCUACGGGAGGCAGCAGUGGGUAAUAUUGGACAAUGGGGGGAACCCUGAUCCAGCCAUGCCGCGUGUGUGAAGAAGGCCUUAUGGUUGUAAAGCACUUUAAGCGAGGAGGAGGCUACUGAGACUAAUACUCUUGGAUAGUGGACGUUACUCGCAGAAUAAGCACCGGCUAACUCUGUGCCAGCCGCCGCAGUAAGAC